AAAAACAGAACGUAGUGGCACAAUCAACGACAGAGGCCGAAUAUGUGUUCUUGGCUUUUGGUGUUAGAGAAGCUUUAUGGCUUAGAAAUUUUUUAAAAGAGAUUGGAAUUGAUGUCUCACCUGUCAACAUCUUUGUUGAUAAUCAAUCUGCCAUUAAGCUAACACAGGCACAACAAUUUCAUAGCAGAACAAAGCAUAUUGAUAUUAAGGUUCACUUUGUUCGAGAUGAGUGUGAAAACAAGAACAUAUGUGUAAGCUAUGUCAAUACAAGUAAUCAGUUAGCGGACUUGUUCACUAAAGCAUUGUCAAAGACAGUUUUUAACAAUUUAUUGAAUAAGUUAAAUUUGUCAAUUUAAACUUUGUAUUUGUUAAUGUGUUAGGUCUUUGUUUUAGCAUUUGUUGUCAAAUCUUGAAUAAGUGGGAGUGUUAAUGUAAGCUCCCGAACUAAUGUAAUAUUCAAGAUAUAAAGAAAAAGAAGAAUUAAGUUUUAAGGUUAUGUUCAUUAUUGGAAGUUCCGUUACACAAAUGUUACACAUGUUUUAAUUAAUAUUUUCAGUUUUCUCAGGCUAAUUGUUUAAUAAACUUUUUACUAAUCGA
rnacentral:lncRNA from 1 species